rnacentral:rRNA from 1 species
UACGGGGGGGGCAAGCGUUGUUCGGAAUUACUGGGCGUAAAGGCUCGUAGGCGGCCAACUAAGUCGGAUGUGAAAUCCCCAGGCUUAACCUGGGAACUGCAUCCGAUACUGGAUGGCUUGAAUCCGGGAGAGGGAUGCAGAAUUCCAGGUGUAGCGGUGAAAUGCGUAGAUAUCUGGAGGAAUACCGGUGGCGAAGGCGG